rnacentral:rRNA from 1 species
UUUGAACGCUGGCGGCAUGCCUUACACAUGCAAGUCGAACGCGAAAGCGGGGCAACCCGCAAGUAGAGUGGCGAACGGGUGAGUAAUACAUCGGAACAUAUCCAGUAGCGGGGGAUAACCUGUCGAAAGAUAGGCUAAUACCGCAUACGACCUACGGGUGAAAGCGGAGGACCGCAAGGCUUCGCACUAUUGGAGUGGCCGAUGUCGGAUUAGCUAGUUGGCGGGGUAAUGGCCCACCAAGGCGACGAUCCGUAGCUGGUCUGAGAGGACGACCAGCCACACUGGAACUGAGACACGGUCCAGACUCCUACGGGAGGCAGCAGUGGGGAAUUUUGGACAAUGGGCGCAAGCCUGAUCCAGCCAUGCCGCGUGAGUGAAGAAGGCCUUCGGGUUGUAAAGCUCUUUCGGCGGGAACGAAAUGGUUCGUGCUAAUACCACGGACUAAUGACGGUACCCGAAGAAGAAGCACCGGCUAACUACGUGCCAGCAGCCGCCGUAA